rnacentral:rRNA from 1 species
UACGUAGGGUGCGAGCGUUGUCCGGAAUUAUUGGGCGUAAAGAGCUCGUAGGCGGUCUGUCGCGUCGAUCGUGAAAACUUGGGGCUUAACCCUGAGCUUGCGGUCGAUACGGGCAUGACUGGAGUUCGGCAGGGGAGACUGGAAUUCCUGGUGUAGCGGUGAAAUGCGCAGAUAUCAGGAGGAACACCGGUGGCGAAGGCGGUUCUCUGGGCAUGUCCUGACGCUGAGGAGCGAAAGUGUGGGGAGCGAACAGG